UUCAAGACCGAUUUUUACGUGGUCUUUUUACAACUCCAUGCUGCAUCUUUAUUGAAUGUUUACUGUGUAUGAACCUGCACAUCUAAUUUUGGAUGUGAAACUAGCACAAACCUGUGUGUAUUAAAACCACAUCUAACAGGGUAUCCUCGUUAAUUUGAUAUAUAUUACACAUGUUGUUUGAUAUUUAUGAGCCAACAGCCAUUAGUCAAUUACUAAUAACAAUAAUUGAUAUUUUAAUUAUGUUGAAAAAAUAAACCUGGUUAUGCAGAUAUAACUACACUUUUAGGGUCAGGAAAAGCAGGCAAAUGUGUCAAGAAUCAUAAUCAAGAAUUAUCCACAGUCGAAAUUGGAUCCCCGUUUUCAGGAGUUUCUGUUGGGAUAUCUGUGACUUUUAUUGUAGUUGUGUGCAUCAUCGUAGUCGUUGUGAUCAUUCGACGAAGGUCGGUAAAUAUAUAUCACAAAGAAAAUAAGGAAUCCCUCAGAAGAGAGGGAGAAGAAGUUAAAAGACAGGAAACUAGUUUGACUGAAUAUACAAGUGGUGCUCCGAGAUUAUAUGACCACACCCAUGACUUGUUUGAAUCUGAUAAAUUGAAAUGUUGCUCUCUAGACGGUAAUUUACAGAAGGAAACUAUAGCAUCUUUCACAAAUAAAAAAGAACAAAGCAGAAACCAGAAGACCGGUUUCGAUGAAUUUACAAAAAAUGAACCGAGAUUGUCUGACCACAUUUACGAGCUGCUAGAAAUUUCAGGAUAUAUCACAAUGUCAAAUGUGUCUGUUCCUUUUGCAAAAUGAAGCAAAGAAAAGGCAUGAACAAGGAUCAAUACGUGGAUUUCGUAAAUAAAAGUUUACUAUGGUGGUUCGCAUUUAAACUCACAAUAUAGUUGUUCUAAACUAAUAUGCAAUUAAGCAUCAAUGAUUAAAGCAAAUAUACUUUUAACUAAACUAUUAGUCAAAGUGCUUAAUGAUUGAGCUUCCGUUUGUC